GAACUUACCUGAGCGGGAUCAAUGGGUGAUUAGGAAGGCCCAUGGCCUAGGCUGGUGACCUCCGUUGCACUUGGGAAGGGUGUGGUCGAGCCUACUUCAUAAUUUGUGACAGUGCGGACCUGUGUUCGCGCAACUCCUAA
rnacentral:snRNA from 1 species